rnacentral:lncRNA from 1 species
AGCCAUUGCGUCUUAGCUUGUGUCUUAAAUCUUCAUUUCCACAAAAUUCCCAAUUCUACACUUAUAUUUUAAGAUUUCAAAUUUUCAUUAAAAUUAAAAUUCAAACAUUGCAAUAAUUAAAAUAAAAUAUAAGAUUUUAAAAUUAGACAAAAAAACUAAAAGAAUUAAAAAAUAUAAUUUAAAAAAUAAAAAGAAAAAUCAAAGAAAAAUAAAAAUCAAACAUCAAAAAAGAAAGGGAAAAUGUGCAGAUUAGCCCCUGAAGUAGUAGCCUCUAUAGCGUAAAACCCC